GACUUAGUGAUGAUAGUAAUUGGAGUAACAUCACUGGCAGUGCCAAUAAGCCUCACAAAGGAAAUGAUCCUAGAUGGAAGGCUAUUCUCGCAAUUCGGGCACGUGAUGGUAUAUUAGGCAUGAGCCACUUUAAGUUACUCAAAAGACUUGGUUGUGGAGACAUUGGAAGUGUUUAUCUUUCUGAGCUUAGCGGGACUCGCUGCUAUUUUGCAAUGAAAGUGAUGGAUAAGGCAUCACUUGCAAGUAGGAAAAAAUUAACCCGUUCUCGGACAGAAAAAGAAAUCCUUCAG
rnacentral:misc_RNA from 1 species